UUUUGGUUGCGAUCUUGGUGCUGCUCGCGUGCUUUUUGCUUGUGCGAUGGAUGUUAUCUCGAAGGGAGCAGUGCAGUAAUGUGAUCUUUCAGGAUCCCGGGUGGCAGAUUGAAGUUGUGGUGGACGAUCCUCCGACUGAGAAGAAACAGCUGGAAGCUCACACUCGUGGUUUGCACAGCAAUGGCACUCUAGGAUUCUCC
rnacentral:lncRNA from 1 species